CCUACGGGGUGCAGCAGUGAGGAAUAUUGGUCAAUGGACGCAAGUCUGAACCAGCCAAGCCGCGUGCAGGAUGACGGCUCUAUGAGUUGUAAACUGCUUUUGUACGAGAGUAAACCCCGAUACGUGUAGCGGGUUGCAAGUAUCGUACGAAUAAGGGUCGGCUAACUCCGUGCCAGCAGCCGCGGUAAUACGGAGGGUACGAGCGUUAUCCGGAUUUAUUGGGUUUAAAGGGUGCGUAGGCUGUUUGAUAAGGUAGAGGUGAAAUGUCGGGGCUCAACCCCGCAACUGCAUCUAAUACUGUUGGACUAGAGUAUCGUUGCGGUAGGCGGAAUGUAUGGUGUAGCGGUGAAAUGCUUAGAUAUCACGCAGAACACCGAUUGCGAAGGCAGCUUACCAAACCAUAUCUGACGUUGAUGCUCGAAAGCGUGGGUAGCAAACAGGAUUAGAUACCCGUGUAGUC
rnacentral:rRNA from 1 species